GUCACCGUGACAACAAUUGGGUGCGAGGACAUCAAAGAAUCAUCCUCUUGUACAGGUUCAAAUGUGUCCAGAAUGUUGAGUUUAGAACUCAGCUGCUGUGAGGUGCUGUCUGAGAAGCAACCCAGCACUGUCUCUUAGGUUACAUGAAGAAUUUGUUGGCAGCUUGCUUUUCAUUUGAGUCAAAAUUCUUUCUAAUCCAGACAAACAAUGGACCAAGUCACAAGCAAGAAGACAUAGGCAAUAGGAAGGAUUCAUUCAAAGUAUGAUUGUCUGGAAGUAGUAAGCGGUGAGGAAUAUACUCUGCAAAAUAAAGAGGCCCUCUGAGAGGUCUGAAGCAGAAGUAGAGCCUCCAGAUGGUAACAUACAUUGUGAAUCUCCAAACGGAAUAUACUAUUGAGUAAUUUCUA